CACCAGUCGUGUGAGCUGUUUCUCCCUUGGCACGUUAUGACUGAGGUCUUUGUGGAUAUUCUGCGGUUAGCAGACUGCCGUGGCAAAGUCAAGCCAAUGGCCCAGGACAGGAAAGCUGGUGGAGAUGUUACAGAGCGGGUGUGACGGUCAGUUUACAGGAAAAAGAAGUCAUGCAGUUUUGGAACAUGUGGGGUUCACACAGUAAAUAAAAAUGGAGGCUCCCUCAAGACCUGUGUUUGUGAUUCAGUCCUGGAGCUGUCAGAACAUGAAGCUGUCUGGCUGUGUGUCUUGUGUCGAGUCCAAAGCCCAUCACCUCUAGCGUGCCACAGAUCUGCUUACCCAAAACCAGCUGGCUGCAACCAGCUAUCAAAGACCACAAAGAGAGGCCUCUCAGGAGAUGGAGGACCUGACAUUCCUCAGGAUGAGUGCCUGGAGAUAUGAAACUCCAAGUACAUAUGAAACACACAAGAGAUCGAAUGACAGACUGUUUAAUAUUAGCCACUGCCAUCAGGUAAAUGACUUGAGUCAUUCAGUCUGCAUCUGAAGAAAAUGUGCUGAAUAUGUGUCUGUUUUGUAAUCUGAAGGGAACAUGUUUGCUGUGCCUCUUGGGCAGCUCAGAGGUAAGAAGGUAAGUCUGUAGAGUUGUAUACAGCUCCCUCAUGCACUGUUGAUAGUUUGGUCAGUCUUGCAGUAAGGGCUGCAUUUUGCUUAAUGAGAAAAGCUUGAUGUAUGCAGUCACAGAUGUUCCUAACAUGUUCCACAGCUGGGAGUGAUCGAGACCAGCCACUCAACGCUGGU